UCCGGGUUUCGCCCGGCAGUCUCCCUAGAACAUUCAACUAAGGACAGGGGUUGCGCUCGUUGCGGGACUUAACCCAACACCUCACGGCACGAGCUGACGACAACCAUGCACCACCUGUGCAGGACCCUUGCGGACCCCAUAUCUCUAUGAGAUUUCCCUGCAUGUCAAGCCUUGGUAAGGUUCUUCGCGUUGCAUCGAAUUAAGCCACAUGCUCCGCCGCUUGUGCGGGCCCCCGUCAAUUCCUUCGAGUUUUAGCCUUGCGGCCGUACUCCCCAGGCGGGGCGCUUAAUGCGUUAGCUGCGGCACGGAACCCGUGGAAGGAAUCCCACACCUAGCGCCCAACGUUUACGGCGUGGACUAC
rnacentral:misc_RNA from 1 species